rnacentral:rRNA from 1 species
UACAUGGGGUGCAAACGUUGCUCGGAAUCAUUGGGCGUAAAGCGCGCGUAGGCGGUUACUUAAGUUGGAUGUGAAAGCCCUCGGCUUAACUGAGGAAGUGCAUCCAAAACUGAGUAGCUAGAGUACGAAAGAGGGUCGCGGAAUUCCCGGUGUAGCGGUGAAAUGCGCAGAUAUCAGGAGGAACACCAGCGGCGAAGGCGGUGCUCUGGGCCGGAACUGACGCUGAGGAGCGAAAGCGUGGGGAGCGAACAGG